GGGCCGGCCGCGGGCAGGCGGGCAUCUGGCGGCCGAGGCCGGGACUUCGGGGCCCCUCCCGGGCGAGUCGCGGGGCGGCGGCGGGAAGGGGCGCCGCACGGAGGAAGUGCCCUCUUGGCCGCAGCCAGAGCCGCGCCGCAGGUGCCGCGAUGUCGUCCUGGCCGGGGCGCGAGGAUGCGAGGGCUGGGGGCGCGUGGUGGCCGCGGGAGCCGCUGGAUCAGGAACUGCAGCGGGCCCGGGAGCAGAAGCGGCGGCGGCACGACGCCCAGCAGCUGCAGCAGCUCAAGCGCCUGGAGUCCUUAAAGGGUCUCACCUGUGGCCAGGAGCGGUGGCUCACGCCUGUAAUCCCAGCACUUUGAGAGGCCGCGGUGGACAGAUCACGAGAGCUUCCCCUGUGUCUGCUGUUUCUCAAAAUGAUCCUUAGCCAAAAAGGUGUGCUUUGAGGUAGCAUAUUCUGGUCUCCUACAGCUAUUCAACUGAGGACAGAGUAGUUAUGAAAAACCUCCUCCUGGGCUUAUCAAGGUUGGCAUUGCAAAUGGUAUGGUCACCGAACAGGCUACAAAGAAUGCCCUUUCUUUAUCAAAGACAACCAAAAGUUACAACAGUUCAGAGUAGCACAUGAGGAUUUCAUGUAUGACAUCAUACGAGACAAUAAACAACAUGAAAAGAAUGUAAGGAUACAGCAGUUAAAACAGUUACUGGAGGAUUCUACCUCAGGUGAAGAUAGGAGCAGCUCCAGUUCCUCUGAAGGUAAAGAGAAACACAAGAAAAAGAAGAAGAAAGAAAAGCAUAAGAAAAGGAAGAAAGAAAAGAAAAAGAAGAAAAAACGGAAGCACAAAUCUUCCAAGUCAAAUGAGGGUUCUGACUCAGAGUGACAAGGAUGUGACUUGUUCAACAUUCUCUUCUCAAACACUGACCAAGGAACAGAGGAAGAUGCAGUCAGAGAAAGUAGCAGGAUAGAGACGCCGAGAGAGGAGUAUAUGUGGGUCACAGCAGUGAGCUCCCACCCGCCUUGCAGUGAAGAUGUGACCCCAGGAGAGGGAGUGUCUCCUUCCAGGUGCUAGCUCUGGACAGCAGCUGAUUUUAGGCAGGAAAGUUUCUUCAUCGUUGUCCUCCCUGCUGGUCACAUGAGUUUACGAUUCCUUAGAAGUGUCUCCCACAGGGUGGCAGGACUGGGAGAAUCUCUGAGGCGUGUCUUCCAGGCCCUCCCACAGCUUGUGCCCUCCACAGUGUAGACUUGAACACUUGGCCUCAUGUGAUCCUUCCACCUUGGCCUCCCAAAGCAUUGGGAUUACAGGCGAGAGCCACUGGUUGGCUAAAAUAUUUAUAUUUACCUGACAUGAUUUGUUGAUUUGGGGGCUAGGGAGUUCUUAAAACAACAAUAAAAAAUCUUCUGUGGCUGC
rnacentral:lncRNA from 1 species